CCCGCGCGCCCGCUCCGCCGCGCCGCCCCGCCCCGCUGGGCCCGGCGUGGGCAGGGCGUCCAGAGCGGGUGUCUGCCGGAGGGGCGGCGGACCCUCGGUCCACAGGGAAAAGGAGGGGACUGUGAAGACUGGAGAAGGCACGAGGGUCCCCGCCCCCCAACCCUGAGCACCCUUUCUGGAUGCGGAGCCCCUGCUGCCGUAGUCCCAAUUCCUGCUUGGCCCACGGUGGGAGUGGGCGCUCCUCUUCCGCCGGUUGUUUCCCUUGUCUUCUCACUACCUCCCUCCACCCGGGCCCCCCUCAGGCCUUGCGCCCGAAUUUGGACCUAGAGACAGGAUCCGAGAGGAACAGGCUGUGUUUCAGCUGGCGGGCUGUGCAGACCCGCCAGCGCGUCGGAAAGCUCCAAGUCUGGGCCCUGGCUCCUGAGCACCCUUCAGGGUCUGGACGGGACUCAUGCCUGUUUGUGCAUCAGAACACUGUUAGGCCUGAGAAGCCAAGAAAGAAGUAGAGGCCCCAGGAAGGGAAAGGAGGAAACUCCCGGCAGAGGAGCUGUCAGGAAAGUCAGCGCAGCAGGCCUGGCUCCACGGGCUCCGCUUGGGUGAUUUCUGAGCUGGGGGACCCUUCUUUAAGGGAUCAUCAGGUGAAAAACACGUACAGCUUGGAAAGAUGGGCAUCCCAGGUGCUCUGUGAAACGGUGGGAGUGCAAGCGGGCAUGCCCAUGUGAAAACAAGAUCGUGUCGGGUGGGUCCUGAGGCCCAGGCACUGGAGGAGACACAUCUCCCUGUGUCCUGCCACUGAAUGUCCCAUGUCUGGACAGCCCUGAAGUGCGCUGUGACCUCCAACAGGGUAUGUACCUCCCGGCAGUAACCAGUCUUGAGUCGGACCCUGACGUGGGAGCUCUGUGUCGGCUAACUCAGAAUCAUCCUCACUCCGUCGGUGGUUCAGUUUUCACGCCCCUACAGGGAGUGGGGGGGAGUGGUGUGCAGGGUCAGGCACAGGUGGGAGCUGUGGCACAGCAUUCCGCCCAGGCCCUGCGCCCCCACCUGUGUAGCAUUCCCCGAACUUGUCUGACGGAGGAAGCCCUUUACGCAGCACACAGCGUCUUACAGGAACUCCCGUUUUCAGGAAGAUGGUUUCAGCAGCGCUGCAGUGACUGAUGCGAGCCCAGCAGAGAGCAUUGGUUUAUCAGACUUGCUGUGAAUGGAGCGGUGAGCAUACAUUGAGAGGAGGGGAAAAUGUGAUCUAAAACACAAGGCAGUAGAUUUCAAAGGAUAGUCUGCAGCCUUGUCACUCGGAGUGUGGUCCCCAGACCAGCAGCAUCGACACCCCUAAGGAGCUUGUUAAAAAUGCAGAGCCUCAGAGCACACCCCACGCCUACCUUACGUGCGGGCACCUGCAUCUUGACCGACUCCCCCUUCGCUCCACCUCUGUCCUCGGGGCAUCUGCCUCAGAAUCCUAGGGAGGCUCCUGAACUAUGCAGAGUCCUGGUUUCUGCCUGAGGCCUGCUGACGUGGAGCUUGGAGAAUGGGGCCUGGGACCUGGCCUUGUAACAAUGUCUUGGGGUGACGUUCACGCACACUAGCGUUUGAGAACCACUGGCCUGUCCCACAGGCAACAAGCAGCUCCCGGGAGCCUCCUAAAAAUGCUACUUCCUGGGCCGCCCCUGGAUCUACUGAGUCUGGGCGUCUAGGGGCCGAGCCUGGGAAUCAGCACGAGGAUGAUGGUGAAACGGACACAGCUGCCCUGAGGCGGGACUCCAGCCAGCUCUGCUCUGCCCAGCAUCCUGGGGCUAUGCCCACUGGGAGGAGGAGCUGUGAUCUCCGCCCCUGGAUCAAGAGCCCUAGAGAAAAGUGUGCUUUUGUUUCUAGGAGAGAUUAAGAAAAUGCAUUUGGGAGGGUAGCCUAUGAGUGGCUGUUUGCUCUCGACACCUGUAAACUGUUGACUGUAAUUGGACCACAGAUGUUCCCUGAGCCUGAUAGCUUUCUCUCCUCCGGCCGUGGAGGGGAGUCUGGGGAGGGGUUCUUCUCUAGUAGGAAAUUGAAUGAUUGUAUUGGGGCUGCAUUUCCUUGCCUUCCUCUGAUUUAAUCUGUUUUUCUCCAUUUAUCAUUAUUAUUUUCGACACUUCAGUGUUAGACAAAAAGCUGUUUUGUAAAGAAAGCAGGGGGAUGUUAGCAAAAGGUGUGUUCAUAGAAUCAAACAGAAUCUUUGUGGGCAAAUGAAGGUAUUCAAAGUCCUGCAGAAAUGGAUGAAAUCCUCCUGCCCUCCAGCUCAAGGAGACCUCCCAGCGUGGAACAGAGAAGAGCAAUCUCACAGGAGAAAGCAGGAGAGAGCAUCUCUCAAGUCCAUCCCCUCCCCUCCAGCUACCCAUCGGAGCCCCAUCAUCUCUCACCUGGAUCCCUGCGCAGCCUCACUCCUCUCCCUGCAAACCCGGCCCCACGGGGACCACUGAAACUUGCAUCAGAGAACAUCACGUGAUGCCCUGCUUCAAGCCCUCAGGCUGGACCCUCUCGGAACCUCGAUGCUCUCUCCAUGGCCCACAGGUCCUGUGCCAUCUGGCCCCUCCGCCCCCUCCCCCUCGCUCUGCCCUUGCUAUCUGGAGCAUUCUGCCCCAGGUCUAGGCAAGGCCGACUGCUGCUCAGAGAUGCCCUGCAGGGCCCCCAGCAAGGCUGCUCGCCCACCUCUCCUCAGCCAGGACCUUUCACACCUAUCACAUCCCUCUGGUUCUGUCUGUCUGAUGUCUGCAGUGCAGCAGGGGCCUCUCUGCCCGGCCCCCUGCCCUCUCCCCAGCUCCCGGAUGGUGCCGGCCCAGGCUCAGCAAACAUCUGAAUAAAUGAAUGUCUGAGUGGAUGACUGGGAAAGCUGGGAGAGAAGGCGACCAGCUCUCAGCCCAAAUUCCUAGAGCCGAUCCCUCAGAGCAAGAUUCCUCCCACAGGAAAUGGACCAGAACUGGAUCUCAGGCUGCACACAGCAGAGGAUUCGGGAACUGGCAAGGAUGAAGCACUCUGCAUUUAUAAAUAGUCUCCUUCUUUUUGGGAUUUCAAUGACUAUUAUGAUUGUCCUCUC
ensembl:lncRNA